UGGGGAAUAUUGUGCAAUGGGGGAAACCCUGACACAGCGACGCCGCGUGAGUGAAGAAGGCCUUCGGGUCGUAAAGCUCAAUAGUAUGGGAAGAUAGUGACGGUACCAUACGAAAGCCCCGGCUAACUACGUGCCAGCAGCCGCGGUAAUACGUAGGGGGCGAGCGUUGUCCGGAAUUACUGGGCGUAAAGAGCACGUAGGCGGCUAUAAAAGUCAGAUGUGAAAAACCUGGGCUCAACCGAGGGUAUGCAUCUGAAACUAAAUAGCUUGAGUCAAGGAGAGGAGAGCAGAAUUCCUAGUGUAGCGGUGAAAUGCGUAGAGAUCAGGAAGAAUACCAGUGGCGAAAGCGGCUCUCUGGACUUGAACUGACGCUGAGGUGCGAAAGCGUGGGGAGCAAACAGG
rnacentral:rRNA from 1 species